rnacentral:rRNA from 1 species
AGCGAACGCUGGCGGCAGGCCUAACACAUGCAAGUCGAACGAUGUCUUCGGACUUAGUGGCGGACGGGUGAGUAACACGUGGGAACGUGCCUUUAGGUUCGGAAUAACUCAGGGAAACUUGUGCUAAUACCGAAUGUGCCCUUCGGGGGAAAGAUUUAUCGCCUUUAGAGCGGCCCGCGUCUGAUUAGCUAGUUGGUGAGGUAAAGGCUCACCAAGGCGACGAUCAGUAGCUGGUCUGAGAGGAUGAUCAGCCACAUUGGGACUGAGACACGGCCCAAACUCCUACGGGAGGCAGCAGUGGGGAAUCUUGCGCAAUGGGCGAAAGCCUGACGCAGCCAUGCCGCGUGAAUGACGAAGGUCUUAGGAUUGUAAAAUUCUUUCACCGGGGACGAUAAUGACGGUACCCGGAGAAGAAGCCCCGGCUAACUUCGUGCCAGCAGCCGCGGUAAUAC